rnacentral:rRNA from 1 species
AUGUAUUGUGGCAAGUCUCGUGAUGCAACAAUUGUGCUAGAGGCCGUAGCAUCCGAGGAUUUAUGGAUUUGGCAUUGCUUUUUUGGUAUGCCGGGCACUCUCAAUGAUAUCAAUGUGUUGCAACGGUCCAUUUGUUUGCUAGGCUUGCUAGUGGUGAUGCUCCUGCUUGCAACUACACUAUCAAUGGGCAUGAAUACACAAAGGGGUACUAUCUUGCAGAUGGUAUAUACCCUCCUUGGUGCACAUUUGUCAAGAGCAUCAAAGAACCCAAAACAAAAAAACAAUGUGAAUUUGCAAGGGUGCAAGAGGCAGCCCUAA